rnacentral:rRNA from 1 species
AUCCUGAAACCGUGUGCCUACAAGUAGUCAAAGCCCGUUAAUGGGUAAUGGCGUGCCUUUUGUAGAAUGAACCGGCGAGUUACGAUUUCAUGCGAGGUUAAGUUGAUGAGACGGAGCCGCAGCGAAAGCGAGUCUGAAUAGGGCGAAUGAGUAUGAGGUCGUAGACCCGAAACCAGGUGAUCUACCCAUGUCCAGGGUGAAGUUCAGGUAACACUG